rnacentral:rRNA from 1 species
GCUAGCGGCGGACGGGUGAGUAACACGUGGGCAACCUGCCUCAUAGAGGGGAAUAGCCUUCCGAAAGGAAGAUUAAUACCGCAUAAGAUUGUAGCUUCGCAUGAAGUAGCAAUUAAAGGAGCAAUCCGCUAUGAGAUGGGCCCGCGGCGCAUUAGCUAGUUGGUGAGGUAACGGCUCACCAAGGCGACGAUGCGUAGCCGACCUGAGAGGGUGAUCGGCCACAUUGGGACUGAGACACGGCCCAGACUCCUACGGGAGGCAGCAGUGGGGAAUAUUGCACAAUGGGGGAAACCCUGAUGCAGCAACGCCGCGUGAGUGAUGACGGCCUUCGGGUUGUAAAGCUCUGUCUUCAGGGACGAUAAUGACGGUACCUGAGGAGGAAGCCACGGCUAACUACGUGCCAGCAGCCGCGGUAAUACGUAGGUGGCGAGCGUUGUCCGGAUUUACUGGGCGUAAAGGGAGCGUAGGCGGAC